UAGCUUGCUACUUUGCUGACGAGCGGCGGACGGGUGAGUAAUGCUUGGGAAUAUGCCUUUUGGUGGGGGACAACAGUUGGAAACGACUGCUAAUACCGCAUAAUGUCUACGGACCAAAGUGGGGGACCUUCGGGCCUCACGCCAAAAGAUUAGCCCAAGUGGGAUUAGCUAGUUGGUAAGGUAAUGGCUUACCAAGGCAACGAUCCCUAGCUGGUUUGAGAGGAUGAUCAGCCACACUGGGACUGAGACACGGCCCAGACUCCUACGGGAGGCAGCAGUGGGGAAUAUUGCACAAUGGGCGCAAGCCUGAUGCAGCCAUGCCGCGUGUGUGAAGAAGGCCUUCGGGUUGUAAAGCACUUUCAGUAAGGAGGAAAGGGUAGUCUUUAAUAGAGGCUAUCUGUGACGUUACUUACAGAAGAAGCACCGGCUAACUCCGUGCCAGCAGCCGCGGUAAUACGGAGGGUGCGAGCGUUAAUCGGAAUUACUGGGCGUAAAGCGUACGCAGGCGGUUUGUUAAGCGAGAUGUGAAGCCCCCGGGCUCAACCUGGGGAACUGCAUUU
rnacentral:rRNA from 1 species